rnacentral:rRNA from 1 species
AUAAGAGUCAACCCGUCUCUGUGGCAAAAGAGUGGGAAGACCUUACAGUAGAGGUGAAAAGCCAAACGAGCCUGGUGAUAGCUGGUUGCUCAACAAACGAAUUUAAGUUCGACUUUAGGUUAUCAUCUCAAAUAAAAGCCCUAAUACAACCUAAAAGCUACUCAAUGAAGGUACAACUCCAUUGAGAUAGGAUACAACCCAAACUAGAGAGAAAGAAAUAUUAUAAGACCAGUAGGCCCUAAAGCCGCCACCAAUAAAAAAAGCGUCACAGCAUAAAAAUAACAAAUCCCAUAAUAUUAGCCGAACUCCUAGUAAAACAUUGAGCCAAACUAUAAUUAUAGCUGAACUAAUGCUAAAACUAGUAACAAGAAAACUUCUCUAAGCACCCCUAUAACCCAGAAAUAGAAAAUCUACUGGCCUUUAACAGACCAAAACAGGCACAACAUUAAUUAUUGUUUCUACUACUGUUAAACCAACACAGGAGUGCCAUCAAGACAGAUUAAAAAUUAUAAAAGGAACUCAGCAAAACUUGUCCCAACUGUUUACCAAAAACAUAGCCUUUAGCAAUACAAGUAUUAAAGGUCCCGCCUGCCCAGUG